rnacentral:rRNA from 1 species
CCUACGGGAGGCUGCAGUGGGGAAUUUUGGACAAUGGGCGCAAGCCUGAUCCAGCGAUUCCGCGUGUGGGAAGACGGCCUUCGGGUUGUAAACCUCUUUUGUAGAGAACGAAAAGUCUAUUGAUAAUACAGAUAGAUGAUGACGGUACUCUAAGAAUAAGCACCGGCUAACUACGUGCCAGCAGCCGCGGUAAUACGUAGGGUGCGAGCGUUAAUCGGAAUUACUGGGCGUAAAGGGUGUGCAGGCGGUAUUGCAAGAUGGAUGUGAAAGCCCCGGGCUUAACCUGGGAAAGCCCUAGAUGACUGGAAGACUAGAGUGUGUCAGAGGGGGGUGGAAUUCCAAGUGUAGCAGUGAAAUGCGUAGAUAUUUGGAAGAACACCGAUGGCGAAGGCAGCCAUCUGGGACGCAACUGACGCUCAUACACGAAAGCGUGGGGAGCAAACAGGAUUAGAUACCCCUGUAGUC